rnacentral:rRNA from 1 species
AUGAACGCUAGCGGCAGGCCUAACACAUGCAAGUCAGGGGCAGCACAAGGAGCAAUCUGAGGUGGCGACCGGCGCACGGGUGAGUAACACGUAUGCAACCUGCCUGUAAGCGGGGAAUAACCCGUUGAAAGACGGACUAAUACCGCAUAAUACUAAAUUACUGCAUGGUAAUUUAUUUAAACAUUUAUGGCUUACAGAUGGGCAUGCGCAUGAUUAGCUAGUUGGAGAGGUAACGGCUCCCCAAGGCAACGAUCAUUAGGGGUUCUGAGAGGAAGGUCCCCCACACUGGUACUGAGACACGGACCAGACUCCUACGGGAGGCAGCAGUGAGGAAUAUUGGUCAAUGGACGAGAGUCUGAACCAGCCAAGUCGCGUGCAGGAAGAAUGUCCCUAUGGAUUGUAAACUGCUUUUGCAGGGGAAUAAAGUGCAUCACGUGUGAUGUUUUGUAUGUACUCUGCGAAUAAGGAUCGGCUAACUCCGUGCCAGCCGCCGC